GCCAGAGUGGUGUAGCGGUUUGGCUGUUGGACUACAACUCUGGAGACCAGGGUUCGAAUCCUGGCUCGGCCA